AAUGAUACUCCACGAUAAAAACGAACUGAUAAGUCUGUCAACAUGAAUGAAUCUGAGAAUGAUUAUGCUGCGUGAAGAAAUCCAGGCACAGCACAUGCUGUACAAUCUCAUUUUAUGAAAUUCUGGAAAAGGAAGGGUACCUUUCGCAUGGGAGAUUUAUUCCUUGCUUUCUGGAGACAAAAGGAAGUCAGAAUUUCAUUUAUACAGAAGCAAAGAAGAGCAUUAUCUGUUGAAUUUUGUUGAAGAUGAGCAUUGAGUUCUCCUAUAGCUACCACCUCCUGCAAACACACACGAGUUAGAGUGUAUGAGAGGAGAAACGGAGAAUACAACCAUUUGUACUGUCCACUCCCAAUUAAAAGGGAAAAAUGGUAAUUAUUUCACCAGACCCCUCCAGAGAUGUAAAACCCUACUCGACAAGGUCAAAGGAA